AUUCUUUUCUAUUCUGGAUUAAUCUGAUUCUAAUGUUUACAUUUGCUCCAUUACCUAUGUUGAAUGAUUUCCGGAUAUUGUUGUUUGUUGGAUGAUGUUAGGUUUUGUAUUGCUUAGUGUGUUUGAUAACUUUGUUAUAGCUGUUGUUUUUUGUUUCAAUCUACUAUGAAUGAAAUGAUGACUGCUAGUUUUUUUUUUCUCUUUCUUUUUAUUUUUGUUACUGAUUUUUCAAUGUUUUUUUAAGUUGUAGUUCCCUUAUCAAUGGAUAAUAUAUGAUUUUAUAGUGACUCUUUAGGGUUUAUGCAAAGGUAGAAAUGCGUGUCUUUAUUAUAGAGCUGAUGCAAA
rnacentral:lncRNA from 1 species